AACGAACGCUGGCGGCAGGCCUAACACAUGCAAGUCGAACGCGUCCUUCGGGACGAGUGGCAGACGGGUGAGUAACGCGUGGGAACGUACCCUUUGGUUCGGAACAACAGCGGGAAACUGCUGCUAAUACCGGAUAAGCCCUUCGGGGAAGAUUAUCGCCAGAGGAUCGGCCCGCGUUAGAUUAGCUUGCUGGUGAGGUAAUGGCUCACCAAGGCUACGAUCUAUAGCUGGUCUGAGAGGAUGAUCAGCCACACUGGGACUGAGACACGGCCCAGACUCUUACGGGAGGCAGCAGUGGGGGAAUCUUGGACAAUGGGCGAAAGCCUGAUCCAGCCAUGCCGCGUGAAUGAUGAAGGCCCUAGGGUUGGUAAAUUCUUUCGUACGGGGAAGGAUAAUGACGGUACCCGUAGAAGAAGCUCCGGCUAACUUCGUGCCAGCAGCCGCGGUAAU
rnacentral:rRNA from 1 species